AUUGAACGCUGGCGGCAGGCUUAACACAUGCAAGUCGAGCGGGGGAAGGUAGCUUGCUACCGGACCUAGCGGCGGACGGGUGAGUAAUGCUUAGGAAUCUGCCUAUUAGUGGGGGACAACAUCUCGAAAGGGAUGCUAAUACCGCAUACGUCCUACGAGAGAAAGCAGGGGAUCACUUGUGACCUUGCGCUAAUAGAUGAGCAUAAGUCGGAUUAGCUAGUUGGUGGGGUAAAGGCCUACCAAGGCGACGAUCUGUAGCGGGUCUGAGAGGAUGAUCCGCCACACUGGGACGGAGACACGGCCCAGACUCCUACGGGAGGCAGCAGUGGGGAAUAUUGGACAAUGGGGGGAACCCUGAUCCAGCCAUGCCGCGUGUGUGAAGAAGGCCUUAUGGUUGUAAAGCACUUUAAGCGAGGAGGAGGCUCUUUUGGUUAAUACCCAAGAUGAGUGGACGUUACUCGCAGAAUAAGCACCGGCUAACUCUGUGCCAGCCGCCGCGGUAA
rnacentral:rRNA from 1 species